rnacentral:rRNA from 1 species
AGAGUUUGAUCGUGGCUCAGAGCGAACGCUGGCGGCAGGCCUAACACAUGCAAGUCGAACGAUCCUUCGGGAUAGUGGCGGACGGGUGAGUAACACGUGGGAACGUGCCCUUUGGUUCGGGAUAACUCAGGGAAACUUGAGCUAAUACCGGAUGAGCCCUUCGGGGGAAAGAUUUAUCGUCAUUGGAGCGGCCCGCGUUGGAUUAGCUAGUUGGUGGGGUAAAGGCCCACCAAGGCUACGAUCCAUAGCUGGUCUGAGAGGAUGAUCAGCCACACUGGGACUGAGACACGGCCCAGACUCCUACGGGAGGCAGCAGUGGGGAAUCUUGCGCAAUGGGCGAAAGCCUGACGCAGCCAUGCCGCGUGAAUGAUGAAGGUCUUAGGAUUGUAAAAUUCUUUCACCGGGGACGAUAAUGACGGUACCCGGAGAAGAAGCCCCGGCUAACUUCGUGCCAGCAGCCGCGGUAAUACGAAGGGGGCUAGCGUUGCUCGGAAUUACUGGGCGUAAAGGGAGCGUAGGCGGACUGUUUAGUCAGAGGUGAAAGCCCAGGGCUCAACCUUGGAAUUGCCUUUGAUACUGGCAGUCUUGAGUACGGAAGAGGUAUGUGGAACUCCGAGUGUAGAGGUGAAAUUCGUAGAUAUUCGGAAGAACACCAGUGGCGAAGGCGACAUACUGGUCCGUUACUGACGCUGAGGCUCGAAAGCGUGGGGAGCAAACAGGAUUAGAUACCCUGGUAGUCCACGCCGUAAACGAUGAGUGCUAGUUGUCGGCAUGCAUGCAUGUCGGUGACGCAGCUAACGCAUUAAGCACUCCGCCUGGGGAGUACGGUCGCAAGAUUAAAACUUAAACGAAUUGACGGA